rnacentral:rRNA from 2 species
GCUCAGGAUGAACGCUGGCGGCGUGCCUAAUACAUGCAAGUCGAGCGAACUGAUUAGAAGCUUGCUUCUAUGACGUUAGCGGCGGACGGGUGAGUAACACGUGGGCAACCUGCCUGUAAGACUGGGAUAACUUCGGGAAACCGAAGCUAAUACCGGAUAGGAUCUUCUCCUUCAUGGGAGAUGAUUGAAAGAUGGUUUCGGCUAUCACUUACAGAUGGGCCCGCGGUGCAUUAGCUAGUUGGUGAGGUAACGGCUCACCAAGGCAACGAUGCAUAGCCGACCUGAGAGGGUGAUCGGCCACACUGGGACUGAGACACGGCCCAGACUCCUACGGGAGGCAGCAGUAGGGAAUCUUCCGCAAUGGACGAAAGUCUGACGGAGCAACGCCGCGUGAGUGAUGAAGGCUUUCGGGUCGUAAAACUCUGUUGUUAGGGAAGAACAAGUACGAGAGUAACUGCUCGUACCUUGACGGUACCUAACCAGAAAGCCACGGCUAACUACGUGCC